UGGCGCGUGACUUGGUUCAAUGGAGUUCAAGAUGGUGAUGAAUUUAAGGUCUUGUGCUUCAAAGAAUCUGAAGUUUUUCAGGUGAAAAAGACGUAUUUGAGUGUGUGAUCACUGAUAAAUACAGUGAGGUUUUUGCGGCUUUUGUCCCUUUCAGUCUGGUAGAAUGCAGGUUCUGGCAGGUUUGAACCCACCAGCCUCAGUGCAUGUGGCCGGAACUCUAACUGCUGAGCUAUGGACGCCAAGCCACUACAUUUAUUUUAAAUCUCAUCCAUGCCCGUGCCCUGUGGUCACAAACAGUAUGGAGAUGAAGACCAGCAGGCCAAACUGCUGCGGCCGCGGGGCCAGCAUGACGAGGACGAAGUGGAUGAGGUCCAUGAGGUAGUUCAGGGAGCACUGCACGCCGUUCACAGCCCCUCGCUCCACUUCUGGAAUGUUCUCCUGGAGAAGCUGGGUUACGGAAGUGCCCCCCUGUGUGUUGCUGAGGCUUCACAGCCAACUGGGGAACUAGUUGAUAAACCCUGGACAAAAAUAGAAACUCUACAAGAAGUGAAACCACGUUCCAUCCGAGGAUGAAACCACAACCGAUCACAUGAGACGCCCAUGUCAUCACCUGGCCCACAGACAAGGGAGCAAAUAUAUUGAUGAUCUGGUCCAGCCGCCGGACUGAUGCAUUCAUCCCUGAGAGAGGAGGGAGACAGUGCAACUUAGUCUAAAAUUGACUAGGAACUUCGGUGACCCAAAGGGGUGUCCAACACUUUGGCUUCUCCAUGCCACGUUGGAAGAAAGAAAGUUGUCUUGGGCCACACAGGAAACACACAAACCCUAAUGAAAGCUGAUGAGCACAAAAACAAAGGUCCAUGUGUAAUUUCCAUGGUAUCUGACACCACAGGUAAGCGAAAAAUUCCCAUCAUCUGCAUGUGCCCCACAGGCUGCGGGUUGGACACCCUUGACUGCAGCUAUAAUGUUAAGUGCUUUUACAAGCCCUGUGUCUCAUAAAAUCUUUCCCAAAACUGCAGAUGAGAAAAGUCAAGUUUGAAAAACUUAGGUAAUGUGCCCCAAAGUAUGCAGCUAGUAAAAAGCCCAGCUGGUUUUAGCUGAAUUCAAAGUCAAGACUGGUUUAUUCCAAAUAACGUUCUCUCAGCGUUUAUAGUGCCUCUGAGAGGCCUGCAUAGCUCAUCAGCUCUCUGCUUCUCAGCUGAUCAGAGGAACCUCAAGGCCCUGGUGGUACCGCUCACCAGCCAGCUGGCGUCUGUUGCCACCCGUGAGGCUCACAAUCCAGUCCUUCUGAAUAGCGAUGGUCAGCACAGUGCCCGCCAGAUUUGCCAAGGCUGCCAGCGUGGUCACCACCGCAUAGCAGGCCACCUGCCGGGGAAGGGAAAGGAAUUUUGGAACCCAGAAUAGACUUCCUCGUACACUGUGGUACAUACAGGUAUCUAUCUGACUGCUUGAGGGACAUUAUUCUAAAUGAACACAAAGACCUUUGUGAGAAAAAAGUUCAAUGUAGGUUUGGAGCCAAAUGCUUUGUGUUAAUGUGAAGCAUUUCCUUUCCCUACCCCAUCAGUGCCGCAGGCCAGAGCCAAUGCCAAUCUGCACCUUGCAGACUUAGACUCUGCUAUUCUGCUGUCUUCACAUCUGCGGGAUUUCAGCAAGGCUUCACAGAUUAGGGGGCAAACGCUAAAGAAGGUUAGCCAAAUCCAAAACCAGUGAGCAGAGCUGCCCAGAGAACACUCCCUGAUGGACAUUCAGGUCUGUCUCGGUGACACUGUCUCAGUGACACCCGCGCAGGAGGGGCGGGGAGCCACUCACAGUGAACCAGCCGUGCCAGAUUUGUUCCAUCUCCUUCUUGUAGGAGAAGACAAGCAUCAGCAGGACGCAGCAGGCGGUGACAGAGGCGUUCUGAGUGAAGAGGGAGGCGUGAGCCACUGUGGAUGGAAACACCCCAGCCCAGUAUUUACUCUUGGUUUGAAAAGGCAGGUCACAACUACAUCAUUGCUGAAGGCAGACUCACGGCAUUCGGCCAAACCUUGUGGCUGCCAGAGUUAAAGUUUUCUUCAGUGAUCACCAGCUUACAGGGUAAAAAAGCAGGCUCGUGCACACAGGAACAGCAAAGCCUUCGCUACCACAAGAAAAAAAAAAGCUGGACUUGACAAGGGAAUGAAAGCAUACUUUCAGAGAAAGAUCAUAUGAAAAGCUAGAUUCUAGAUAAAUCAAGGAAUUUCAUUUUUUCCGUAUUCCAUCACACUCUUCCGGAUUGAAUUUGUAACUGAAGCUAUCAAUUUGGUUUAAGGACCAACCCUCUAGACUUUAAACAAGCUAGUCUUUUCAAUGAUGUGGCUUCAGAGAAUGCCUUCCCAAGUCUCCUAUGGGGGAUGAAAACAAUCAUGUUGACUAGUAUCGAAGAGAAAAGAGAAACCUAGGAUAGCUGGCAUUCUUACUGGACAAAGGAAGCUCAAGGAGAUACAGCCAAAAGCUAAAAGUAGACCUACGUUGGAACAAAUAAGUUUCCAGAUAUUAAUUACUAGUCUAGAUAUUAAUUACCUGGUACAAAAGAUACAUUUUACACAUAGAAAUUGUCUUUAAUAAAAAUAAUACAAAUGUGUUAUACACAGGUAAUACCAGAAUAUUAACAAGGAGGCUUUUCAGUAACUUAGAAUUAAAAACAUGUACUUAGUAAAAAUCUGUAUUGAAAUAUUUGAAAUAUAGCACCAGAGAAUGAUGACAUCAAGCUGAGUAUCUGUUUUUCUGGAGUUUUUCAGUUAUGCUCUAUUGCCAUUUAGUUCAUAUCUAUAGUUUUUUUGUUUUGUUUUUUUUUUUCACUAAACAGCCCCACAAAAGCUAGGAGGUCAUAGUGUACCACUUAAUUAUGUAUGUCAUAGUUGAGAGCAUUACCUUUAUUUCUUGGUUUCCUGUCGAUCCAAUCACCAAUUAAGACCCCAAAUAUUAAUACAGAUCCAGCCACCACUAAGCCAAAUACUGCUGAUAGAAGAAGAUUAUGUCCGUAUAAUUCUAUCAGGAACACAGACAUAGCAAAGUGCCACAUUCGGUCUCCCUGUAAGUCAGUAGAGGCAAAGCAUGUUUUAAUCAUUGGCCUAAAAGAUGGAACAAAAUUAAAAUCCAGAAGGAUGUAUUUCUUCCAAAGGACAUGCAAUAUGUAGGAUUUAAAAACAAAAUGUCAAAAUUAUGCUUUUAUGCAAUACACCAAUAACUUUAUUUUUCUGCAAUAUAGUUACAAAUUUUAAAAGUUGGACAGAUUAUAUUUUAAAAUUCUAAGAGCAUCAAAGAGUCAACAAGCUAAUGAGAAAAUAUCAGAUGAACACUUGAGAGAAUACAAGAAUCCCAAGAAAUAAUAAGCCCAGGAUAUCUGAGGACGUCUGCUGAUUAAGAAAAAACAGUAGUGAGAUAGAAUAAUUUGGUGGGCUCAGAUAAUUAGAUAAUAGAUGUCCUUGAUACCAAAGAUGGGGACUAAGAUAAACUAGUUUUCAGUUUAAGCUAAGCCCCAUGACUGCAGGUCAGUAUAAGCAAGGGUGAACUUGAAGCAACCAACCCUUGCAUGGACUCGUAGUCCAGUUGUACCUCACCUGAAUGGUCCAGAAAACCUCAAGCCUUGAACUUGGAUUAAAGUUUCCCAAAUGACUAGUGCCCAGUGUGCAUCUAAAAGAAUCCAAUUAAAUUCUUUCUAAAGGAAGAUACCAUUAUCUUUGGCUUCGCAUAAUCCCUACCAUAAUUUUUAAACAAUGCCCAGCAUAUAGUCAAAGAUAAGUAGUCACAUAAGGAACUUAAGCGCUAUGAGCAAGAUCUAUGAUAAAUAAGAUAUAACCAAAACAGAUCUAUCAGAGGCUUCAGAUAUUUAUCUUAUCAAAAACUGGCCAGAAAAUAAUAAUGUUUAAUAUAUUUAAAGAGAUAAAUGCCAAGUCUGAUAAUCUAAACAGGAAAUUGGAAACUAAGAAGUGACAUGGGCAGUUAAAAGAGAAUUAAAUAGAAAUUUUAGGACUGGAAAAUAUAGCAAUAAAAACUAAAAUUAAAGCCUCCUUUGCUGUGUUUUAUAGCAGAUUAGACAUAAUCUAAUCUGUAAUCAGUUAACUAUUGAUAAUGGCUGCAGAAACCAUCUACAAUAAAACGCAGAAAGACAAAAUGAGAAGAACAGUAAGGAAGACAAGAAAGGAGAAAAGAAACACAUAAUUGGCCAAACAAAUAGAAAACACAAAAUAAGAUGGUAAAUCUAGCUUAAAUAUAUCAUUAGUUAUCAUUCAGUGUAAACGGACUGUAUGUUCAAGUUAAAGGUUAGAGAUCUAACUUUUAUUUUUUUGAAACAGAGUCUCACUAUGUCCCCCUCAGUAGAGUGCUGUGGCGUCACAGCUCACAGCAAGCUUAAACUCAUGGGCUCAAGUGAUUCUCUUGCCUCAGCCUCCUGAGUAGCUGUGACUAUAGGCACCUGCACAACACCUGGCUAUUUUUUGUUUUUAGCAGGCCCAGGCUGGGUUAGAACCCACCAAACCCGGUGCAUGUGGCCAGUGCCCUAACCACUUAGCUAUGGGCACGGAGCCAAGAUCUAAUUUUUUAAAAAUUGAAUUUAAAAGUACAACUAUAUACUCCUUAAAAAGAAAAAAAAGAAUAAAUAAAGGAUGGAUAAUGAUAUACCAUGCAAACACUAACAAAAAGAAAUUCAUGCCAGUAAUUAAUACUAGACAAAAUAGAUUUUAAGGCAAAAAGCCUUGUUUGAAAUAAAGAGAAACAUUUUAUAAUGAUAAAACUGAAACUCACAAGAAAGACAUAAAAAUUCCAAUUUUGUGUGUCCUAAUAAAAAGGGCUCAAAAUAUAUGACAAAAAAAUACGUAGAAUUGAAAGGAGAAAUAGGCAAUUAUUGUAGGAGAUUUUUAACUCACCAUCUUCCUCUUAGCAAUUGAUAGAACAAGCAAAAAAUUAAAAUUUAUAUUAAGAAUGCACGUGUGUUCAUUCUACUUAAGGGUCACAUAAAAAACAUUGUACCCAACAACUUCAUAAUACACAUGGUUUUUAAGCACAUAAAACAUUUAUAGAAAUUGAUCAUAUAAUAGAUCAUAGAGCAAAUCUUAAUUCCAAAGUGUAAAAACUAUAUGAAAGAUGUUCUCUGACCUCAAGGCAGUUAAGCUAAAAAUCAGUAAUAUGAAAAUCAGAAAAUCCUUAAGCGGUGGCACCUGUGGCUCAGUGGGUAGGGCACCGGCCAUAUACACCCAGGCUGGUGGGUUCGAGCCUGGCCCAGGUCAGCUAAACAACAAUGACAACUGCAACAAAAAAUAGCCAGGCAUCGUGGCAGGUGCCUGUAGUCCCAGCUACUUGGGAGCCUGAGGCAAGAGAAUCGCUUAAGCCCAAGAAUUUGAGGUUGCUAUGAGCUGUGAUGGCACUCUACCCAGGGCAACAUAGUGAGACUCUGUCUCAAAAAAAAAAAAAAAGAAUAAAAAGAAAAUCAUCAUGUAUGUAGAUUAAAGAAUACAUUUCUAAAUAAUACCUAGGUCAAACUAGCAAUCAUAAAGGACAUUAUACAUUUUUUUAAACAAAGAGCAUCAAACCUUGUCAGAUGUAGUGUAAGCACUGCUUAAAGGGAAAUGUAUAGUCUGAAAUGCACACAUUAGAAAGGAGAGGCUGAAUUUAAUGAGCUAAGGGAAUAGCAAAUUAAACCCAAAGAAAGUAGAAGAAAGGCAGUAAUAAAGGUAAGAGAAGAAAUUAAUGAACUAGAAAAACGAAGACACAAUGAAAAGGCUUGUUAAAGUCAAAAGCUGGCUCUUUGGAAAGACUAAUAAAAUAAAUCGAGGUAAAAUGAAAUACUAUACAGCAAUUAAAAGUACCCCAAUCAGUGUUGCAUGCAAUAAAUGGAUAUUACAAACAUAAUGGUGAGCAAAAGAAGCAAGACAUAAUAGCCUACAUAUGGUAGGGUUUAAUUAUAAUGUAAUAUAGUUUCAGGAUGCCUAUAUCAAUGAUAAAACUAUGACGAAAAUAAGGAAGUGAAUCCCAUUAACAUGAGGCUCAUGGCUCCUUCCUGUUGGUGAAGAAGGGGUGUGACUAGAAUGGCCCCAGGAGGGACAGCUGGGGUGCUGGCUACAUCCUAGGUCUUUACCUGGUGGCAGUUUCAUGGUAUUCACUUUAUACUUAUUGAUUAUUAUUGUUCCUACACAUACGUUUUAUGCAGUCAUUUCUGUUUGUUCCAUAUUUGAUCAUUCAAACAUCUUUUUUUUUAUUUUUUAUUUUUUUAUUUUUAUUAAAUCAUAGCUGUGUACAUUGAUAUGAUCAUAGGGCACCAUACACUUGGUUCAUAGAUCGUUUGACACAUUUUCAUCACACUAGUUAACAUAGCUUUCAUAGCAUUUUCUUAGUUAUUUUGCUUGAGGACAGCAAAAUA